rnacentral:rRNA from 1 species
UCUGGGAUAAGCCUGGGAAACUGGGUCUAAUACCGGAUAGGACCCUCUGCCGCAUGGUGGGGGGUGGAAAGCCUUGUGCGGUCUUGGAUGGGCUCGCGGCCUAUCAGCUUGUUGGUGGGGUGAUGGCCUACCAAGGCGACGACGGGUAGCCGGCCUGAGAGGGUGACCGGCCACACUGGGACUGAGACACGGCCCAGACUCCUACGGGAGGCAGCAGUGGGGAAUAUUGCACAAUGGGCGCAAGCCUGAUGCAGCGACGCCGCGUGGGGGAUGACGGCCUUCGGGUUGUAAACCCCUUUCGGCAGGGAACAAGCCUUUCGGGGUGAGGGUACCUGCGGAAGAAGCGCCGGCUAACUACGUGCCAGCAGCCGCGGUAAUACGUAGGGCGCGAGCGUUAUCCGGAAUUAUUGGGCGUAAAGAGCUCGUAGGCGGUUUGUCGCGUCUGCUGUGAAAGCCCGGGGCUCAACCCCGGGUCUGCAGUGGGUACGGGCAGGCUGGAGUGCAGUAGGGGAGACUGGAAUUCCUGGUGUAGCGGUGAAAUGCGCAGAUAUCAGGAGGAACACCGAUGGCGAAGGCAGGUCUCUGGGCUGUAACUGACGCUGAGGAGCGAAAGCAUGGGGAGCGAACAGGAUUAGAUACCCUGGUAGUCCAUGCCGUAAACGUUGGGCACUAGGUGUGGGGGCCAUUCCACGGUUUCCGCGCCGCAGCUAACGCAUUAAGUGCCCCGCCUGGGGAGUACGGCCGCAAGGCU